AGUAUAAAAACGCGCAAACGCACAUUGUUCGUCCUUUUGGCCUCUUCUCGUCCGCUGUGGUUCACUGUCGCUAGUUUCGCUGAACUUGCGAAGUGCAUUGACACGUGAGAAGGCUCCGGUGCUUUUACAUGAAAGGCCCCGCGUUAAAGGUGGAUCUAGGGCUUUUGGGUCACAGUAUGGGUUUAAAAAUCGUGCUGUUCAAGUCCUCCUGUGGUCUCCUUGUUUCCUCAGAAGGCUACUCGGAAGAUGCCAGAUCAAGAGGAUGACAAACCAGGAUCAAAGGUAAAGGAAAAGAACUCGAGCAUCCAUGAAGGAUGUUUGUCUGCAUGGUGUGUGCACUCCCAGCUGAACUAGUGGACAGAUGUGGAUUAGUUACACACAGGUGUCUCAAAGUGAGCUGGUUUAGAUUCAUUUGAAGACAUGCUGAGUCGUUCCUUGUCUGUUUAAUGAUGUCGUAGUUCACUGUCCAGUGAAUUUAUCAGAACUGGAUUCAGUGGCUGCAGAGACUGCUUCAGUAUACAUGGAUCCAGAGCUCGGUGAAAAGAGGACUUGGAAUGGAUCUUUAUGUGAAGAUGGAACACAUUUAAUGCUUGAUGUUUAAGAGCUGAUGUUGCUGUAAUUUGAAUAAACUGUUGACAUGUAA